rnacentral:lncRNA from 1 species
AGGAAGUCCUUCCUCCCAGUGCCGCUUCUCAGACUGCUAACCAGGACUCGUGUGAACCUCUCCGGAGACUCAGAUAAAAUGAAAAAGAGAAAGGAUGUGGUCGCCGCUUUAGAGAUUAAUGAGGAAAACAAGCGGAAUGAAAGGGCUUUGCCACCAAGCACAGAAAGCAGAGGAAAGAGCCCUCCUUUUCAGAGAAAUGGGACUUGGCUGAGGGACGCAGGACAUGCCAUCAUUCUCAAGCUUGUGGCCAGCUCCUUGGUGCAGACCACCUAAUAGAGACACUGCAGUGUGAAACAAACUUUGUUCAUCCAUAAACUGGAUUGCUCAGCAAAUAUUUAUUGAGCACCUGCUGCGGGCUAAGCCCUGAUCCCCGUUGUGAGGACUCAUCAAUAAAUGAGACAGAAAAGGACUCUUCUCUCCUAAAGCUGACCUGCUUGGAAACAGGAGCACGCUGCAAGAUGGAUUUCCGGGAAGGAUGCACACUUUGAAGAAUUAUAAAGAAGGGAUGUGGGGGAGGGGAGCGGAGGUGGCAUGUGAUGUAAGUUGCAAUUUUCCUGAAGGGUACCAUCCACGUGGGCAUCCAGGAGCUCUGAGUAGAGUUCUGAACCAGGGAGGGGCUGGGUGUAAGGAGAGCUGGCUGAGCAAAGAGAGGAGCAAGGAUCCUGGAGUGGGGGCGAGGCGGGUAGACACAUCGAAGGGGCCAAGUGUCCAGGGUCGAAGCAACCUACAGGACCGUGUCUGGCUGGCCAGGUCCUAAAAUGAAGGCAACGGGGGAGCAGUCUGACGGGUCCACAUGCAUCAACCUCCCAGAUACAGAGCAGGGGAAUGGGCGGAUCAUGGCCCUGGAAAAGCCGGUACCCCAGCUCGGCACAAAACAGUCUUAGGGAUGAGCCCCUCCCGGAGACCAAAGGAUGGAGGCUGCAUCGAGGAGCACUCCCUGAGGAGCUGGCCCACUCCUGCAUCCCCAGUGCCAACCCCUGCAAACACCAGGCUGCAUGCUGGCCAUGCCUAGAGGGACCAAGCUGGGAAGGGCAGGACUUGCUCACAGACAAGAGGAAAAAUGAGCAGAUUGAAGUAGGAACAUGGCCACUGCAUUCUCCCCCCGGCAUGCAAGGCAACAUGGGCCCUGGGCCCAGGACCUUGGCCGACAGUGUUAUCACCUGGAUCCCAGUCUACCGGGGUGAUGUCUGGCUUCCCCCACACAACUGA